AGUCUUCUCUGUUGGUGUCUUUCCUACUUUCUUCGCUUGAAACAAUUUCUUCUUUGCAUGACGUCAUACCACCUGCUUUUACUUGAUGUUUUCUUGGUCGGAAUAAUAACAUUUCAAGUUACUUACGUGGACAACAGGGUUAGUCUGUAUCCAUAGGAGCAAUUGGAUCCUAUAUGAUGUCUUCCUUAUCUUGUGGAUAACUUCGACUAGUCCAUAGAAUUUUCGCACCAGUCUUUGGUUCUUGUUGCUUUGAACUCAAAGUUGAUCUAACCUUAACUUAUCAUAACUCUCUAUUUGCUUUGAAAUUAUCGUGGUCGACCCUUCUCUUCAUCCGUCUGGAUGGUAUUUUUGCGUGAACAUGUGUUGCUUUAGUGGUUUGUUUUUGUCUCCCUUCUUCAGUAGAGGUGUUGGCUUGGUGUCUUUGCCAAGCAUUUGAGUGAUCAGUGACAAGAGCCUUUGGAGGUCAAAUAAACCCGACUGUGAACAUGCCAUUUUUCUAUUUGUAGAAUUCAACUAGCUCAGGCUGAGCCGCAUGACAUCUAUUUGUGUGGCAAAAAAGUUUUUGUUGAGGUUGGCACACUUGAGCUCCCCCUUUUCAAAUACAACAAUGGCAGCAAGUGUAGAUUCAUCAUGCCUAAGAUUCUUUCUCAAUUGUACUAUCGUCAUCAUUUUCACCCCUCUUGGUUGAUGGAUGUUUGUCUGAAUGAUCGUUGGGUUAGACUCCGUUACUACUAUGCAUUUUGCUAGGGGCAUGUAAAUGACUUUGUGUUCUA